AGCACAAAAUGUCUUCUUCAUAGCAGAGAGUCGUGUUCCCCAUGCAGGGGAGAAAGGCCCAGAGGAGAAGGUCUAAUAUCAGAUGUGUGUGGCUGCUGCUCCCCUCUGGCUGCCUUCACUAGGAACUUUGCCGGCUCCUGAUUCUUCACGCGGGCCAUGCUGUGGCCAGACUGUGCUUCCUCUGCGGUGCCCUGCUCCCCAUGGACUCGACGCUCAUCUGAUGCACGAUGCUUUCCUAACGAGUUUCUAGCAGGUCCUCCAGAGACAGGACGGGAAGCAGGGUGUUCUCUUCUAUCAGCCGCUCGUGGAGAGUAACAGCUCAACAAUCACAGGACUUACACAAUAUGAAACAAUUCCAGCUCAUGAACCAUCAGACAGUGAUGGACUCCCCUGCUCUGCCAGCCAUGGCUACAGCUUUGACUGGUCAAGAGGCUGAUUGCAGUAACUUUCUUCUGGUAGGAGACGCAGACAUGACUGGAUCUGGCCAGUUUACAGAGGCUGCACCCUGAGGGCCGUCGUGUCCCCCUUGCCUUUUGACCUACAGGGCCUAAUAUAAUGCAUUUAAAUGUUAUGUCUCCACCUGCAAAUGACAAGGGAUGUGUGGAAUAUGCAUGUUUGCUUACCACGCAUGUGUGUGACUCCCCCAUCAUGAAUAUUCAUAACUCCUGUAACCUGUUACAUACGUAUCCUUGACCAACCAUUCAACAUAAA